UUUAAUUUUUAUGGGCACAUAGUAGGUAUAUAGAUGUGUGGGGUACAUGAGAUGUUUUGACAUGAGAAGCAACUCGUAGUAAUUACUUCAUGGAGAAUGGUGCACCCAUCCCCUCCAGCAUUUAUUCUUUGUGUUACAAACCAGUUAGACUCUUAGUUAUUUUUAAAUGUACAGUUAAAUUAUUAUUGACUAUUGUCACCCUGCUGUGCUAUCAAAUACUAGGUCUUAUUCAUUCUUUCUAUUUUUUUGUACCCAUUGUUAACCCUCCCUACCUACCCGGCAAUGUCGUGUCCCUGUCGUUGUCGUCGUGGUUUCCCCCCCCCACACCCAGCACCACUCCCCUUCCCAGCCUCCGGUAACCAGCCUCUACCCUCUAUCUCCAUGAGUUCUGUGGUUUUGAUUUUUAGAUCCCACAAAUGAGUGAGGACAUGUGAUGCAAAUUAUGUUUUUUCUUCAGUCUGCAAUAUGUAUGUAUUACCUUUUACUACCUGGUCCAUUUAUUCUCAUGAUUAAUUUAUUGCAGGUCUUCAGAUGCACACAUGUCAUCAGAUUAAGCACAGGCUGACCUCGUUUGAUCGUGCUUUUUGCUUUUUUGCGCUUCACAGAGAUUUCAUUUUUUACAAAUUGAUGACUUGUGGCAACCCUGCACAAGGUAAAGAAGGCACAGGCACCCUCACCUCCUGCACUCUAGGCAGCUUCCAAAAUUGCCUACAAAUAUCCUGAGAGCUUUCCAGGAAGCCACAGGGAGCCCUGGACCUCUUUGAAUCUCUGGCUGCCGGUGGACUGGCAGGUCACUCCCAUGUCCCAGCUCCUGCCUGCAGGUGCCUCCAGAGAUGCUGCCCUUCCAUGGCACCCCCAGGGCCCCACACCUCAAGAUUUCUGCGGCCUUCUCCCUUCUAUCUUCGUACAACAAGGUAAUUUGCUUUUAA